UUUCCACACAAAAUGCAUUCAGUUACAUAUAUAAAUUAGUUUAUCUGGCAUACAUAGAGGCGGAAACCCCAGGACCCCGAGUUGCCUGACCUGGGUGACUCGGGGGAAUCCAACCACCGUCGGGCUCGGUACCACUCGUCCCGCCCACCUCCGCGUCGCCGCCGCUAGAGGGUGCCGGACCAUGGGAUGGCGGUGGCGGGGUCGUUCUCCCACUCUCUCCCAUCGCCCCUGCCCUCUCAGAUCCGUUCCUGGCGGCGGCACGGCCUCCCUCGGCGGCUCGCCGGCGGUCUCUUCCCCGGCCAGCUGCUGGCGCGGUUGGUCUCGCCCCGGGGCGCGGGCUCCUGGUGCGUCGUCCUGGCUCGCCUCGAUCUGGCCAUGGCCUGGCGUGGGCCGAAUGGCCGCGGUUGCCUUCUUCUCUGACGUGCUGCACGACGGCAUGGGGGCCUGCUAGUUUGCUUGUCCAAGAUUACUGGAUUGGAUGGGAUUUGGUCGUGUGCACCCCUAUUUCAGCCCGAGUGGCUUCAGGAGGGUGUGACGCGAAGGCGAAGCUUCGUUGUUUGUUGACAUUAUGGGACAUGCCGGUAUUUUGAUUUCCAUUGUGAAAAUAGUGGCGAAGAAUGUUAUGGUGGUUGAGGUCUGAGGCCUAUUAAUGGCGGAUCGAGUCUUCAAGGCGAUGAGGACUUUGUUAGGUGAUUUGUGACUCGUAGAAGCAGCAUCAUCAAGUGGGGACGACUACACAGGCAGAGUACAGAGUCUUAUCUUUCAAGGUGAAACCCAAACUCUGCCCUUAAUUGGUUGUGUCUGGCAGUGUCCUUGUUGAAGGCAUUAUUUGAGAGCGCUGAUUUUCUCCAAGGUGAAAACCUAAGAUCUACGAUCGGGCGAUGACUGCGCUUGUGCACUGCUUCCUUCUUGGAGGCAUCGCUUAUGGAGAACUUGAACUUCGGGUGUUGUCUUGGUGGUGGUUCAUGCUGCAGCUACAAGGAAUUGAUCAUUGUAGUGGGAUCUUUAUUUUAUUUCUUCUUCUUUUUUGUCUUUUGGCUGUGUGCACCCGCAAUGUUUUUAUGACAUUUCGAUGUUGAAGAGUCU